UAGACUUUUCAUCAUCGGUUUCAUGGGAGGUGUUACAACUGAAGUGAACCUGCAGGCUAUGCUUGCCCGAAGAUUGACCAUACAAGGUUGGAUGGAUAUUUGUGAUUUCAGUAUUGCCAUCUUAUGUCGAUGCUUGUUGUUUGCUUCAUUAUUUUACAUGAUUGUGCUAUUUGUAAAUGUCGUCGCUAAUUUACCACUUGAUUGAAUUGCCAUGAUUUUGUGCAGCUGCUGGACUGCGGAACAGAAGCCUCGCUAACAAAGCCCAGAUCGUGAGCGAGGUGGAGAAGAAUGUGUGGCCUGCCGUCGUGUCGGGCAAGGUGAAGCCGGUGAUUUACAAGACAUUCCCGCUAUCUGAAGCAGCUGAAUCUCACAAGCUGAUGGAGACGAGCUCCCACAUUGGCAAGAUACUGUUGAUUCCAUGAUUGGGUAUGGUGUGUUAUGGUGUGAACUAUCUGAAGCCGCUGUGAGCACUGUUUCCUGCAGUAAACUAUGCAAGGAAAUGUCCUUUUAUAUUGUAAGAUAAACUGGAUCUCGAAGUGCUGAUGAAAUUGGAUAUGUAUCUUGACGACAACCAGUUACAAUAAAAUGUUGGAAGUUGGAAGUCUUGUUCAUUCAUCUUAUGAGAGUGUCACUGAUGUUGAUAUUUUUCUCUAUAAAUUUGAUCAAACUUCACUAGAUUUGACUUUUGAGUUGAAAAAUAAGUUUAUACGCACCCGAAACGCUGACGUAUGGUUCGGUUCAUCGUCUCUGGGGCCGAAUGAGCCGAAAGAGAAGUGGGGUAGCCAGCGGGGACCACGCAGCUAGCCGCCGCCGGCGGGAACUUUCCUCCCGUCUGUCGACCUCAUGGGGGAUAUGAGACAUGAGCAACCCACUCGCGGCCGAGCUGAGCAGGCAGUGAGAGCGACGGGGGAGAUCGCGAGCCCCGGCGGGCCGGAGGUGCUGGAGGAGAGCGAGGUGGAGGACCUCCCGGCGCCGGGGGACGGCGAGGUGCUCCUCAGGGUGGCCGCCGCCGGCGUCAACCGCACCGACACGGUCCAGCGGCAGGGCGGGUACCCCCCCGCCGCCCGGCGCCUCGCCGUACCCGGGGGUCGAGUGCUCCGGCUCCAUCCUCGCCCUCGGGGCCAACGUCCACCCGCGCUGGGCCGUCGGCGACCAGGUAAUAGUUUAGUUCACCGCCUCCUCUGUCCCUGCGCACCCUUUGCUGUCGCCGUGCUGUGAACCUUUGCAUCGCGUGCAGGUGUGCGCGCUGCUUAACGGCGGCGGGUACGCGGAGAAGGUGGUGGUGCCGGCGGGGCAGCUUCUCCCGGUGCCGGAGGGGGUGUCGCUGACGGACGCCGCCGGCUUGCCCGAGGUGGCCUGCACCGUCUGGUCCACCGUCUUCAUGAGCAGCCACCUCUCCCCCGGCGAAUCCUUCCUUGUAAGAAAUUCUCUCUUGCUGGUUUGUUGGGAUUGCAGACCGAUGAAUCUGCCUCAGUCAUCACCACAUAUGAUUCCUACUACUAGGAGCUGAGCAUUUUAUUCAGUCACAACUCACAACAAAUUGGCAUGCUCUGACUAACUGAAAAACCACAAAGUACUGAAUGAUGCCAACUCGAAUGGAGUGUGAAAUGAUUUAGUAGUCACUUGUACGCAGAAGUAGGUGCAUAAUUGGUGUUGUGGGAAUUGAACUGGAACUAAAUUUUCAUGCCUAUGUUUUUUGUAUCUCCCAUUGUAUGCAGAUCCACGGUGGAUCAAGCGGAAUCGGUACAUUUGCUAUACAGAUGGCAAAGCACCUCGGAAUCAAGGUUUUUGUUACUGCAGGUAUGUUGCUGGGUACGGAUGUAUCUAACACUAAAACGUGUCUAGACACAUCCGUAUCUAGACUAUCUAAGGCAACUAAUUCGGGGCGGAGGGAGUACUAAAAAGUUUUCUGAAAGGGCAAGUAACUCUGUUAUGCUCCUCCAGGAAGCCAAGAGAAACUAGAUGCUUGUGCAGGUUUGGGUGCGGAUGUAUGCAUAAACUACAAAACCGAAGACUUUGCAGCAUGUAUCAAAGAAGAAACUAAUGGAAAUGGUAUUAUCCUGCCAUCCUCUUGUAAUGCUUGAUGCCCUGUGCAAAAAUAAAACAAAAUGUUUUGGCUUUCCCAAGUUAUGCUUGGCAAGUUAAUAUACAUGCAUUCUGACCGUAAUAUGGGGAAUAUCUCUACCAGGAGGUGAUGUCAUUCUGGACAACGUCGGCGGAUCAUAUCUCCAGCGCAAUCUGGACAGCUUAGCAGUUGAUGGUAGGCUUUUCAUCAUUGGUUUCAUGGGAGGCAGCGUGACUGAAGUGAACCUGCAGGCGAUGCUUGCCCGAAGAUUGACCAUACAAGGUUGCAUUGAUGCACACGAUUUCUCGGCUUCUCGUUCUGCCAUGUUUUUUGCCUGAUAACAGAUCUUAUGUCGAUGCUUUUUUCUUGUUUUAUCUGAUCGACAAUUCCUAGAUGUCGUCGCUAAUUUUAGUAAUGGAUUGUAUUGCUAUGAUUAUGUGCAGU
rnacentral:lncRNA from 1 species